ACAGAUGAACAGAAAAUACAAAUACGAAAAGAAAGAUAAUUUUUAUAUAUUUUCAACUGAUUUUCACUUGUUGCACGCUUCUUUAAUUACACUCAAUUGCGAAUUACCAGAGUACAGUACAUAUCAACGAUUAAAAUCAAUUCAUACAACAAACAACUGCAGCAACAAAAAACACAACAACAACUGCAAAAUAUACAUAUCAUUUAAAAUAACAAACAUAAAAAAUGCAUCAUUAACCCCUCAACACCAAACAUCUCUGACAUCUCAGCUCUACUCUCAUAAACAGCUUCAUUAUUGUAAAACAUUACUUUUAGUUUAUUGUUGCAACAACAAUAAAACUAUUAUAAUGCAUAUUUUUUACGAAAAAAUCCUGCAGAAUCAUGCAUAGCAUACUUACACGUAAUGUCAGUAAAAAUGUCUCAACUUCCGCUUCUGUUUUUUGUUCUUUUCCGGCAAUGCACUUCCUAGAAAGUGGAGCACACACACACACCGACACAAUCAAAACAAACCACCAACAUGACAAUGAUUGUAGAAUCAAAACAUCAGCAGCAAGCAACAAUUACAGCAGCAUUGGUAGUAUCAUCAACAUCAUCGUACAGCAACACAUAUGAUUUUGAAAAAAAGAAAAACGUUGAAGCAGAGUUAAAAUACAAAAAAAGGAUAAACGGAUAUACAAGGAAACGGUGUAAACUAGCUAAGCAGAUAUCUCAACGUACAUCUGGCAGAUAUUGAAUACCACAAUAUUAUUUGUUGCAUUUAUAUGAUGACAUUUUGUUGACAAAACUUAAAAUCAUUUAUAAAUGACGUAAAUAAGAACAACAUUCAUUGAUUCCUUUACAAAACAUCUCAACAAACUCAAAAACACACAAAUUUUAAACACACCCAUAUAAAUACAAAAUAAAUUAUUCUAUUUAAAAUUAUAAAUAAGCAAAAGGCUGAAAAGAUGUUUUAAGGAUGGUAUAAUAUCAAAACUGAAGCAACUCCCAUAAACGAGGAUAAACACAGAAGUCUUUUAAAAAACUGACAAAAAAGAGGAAGGAAAGUCUUGCUUGAUUGAUACCUGGCCUUAGCUAAAAAGAUAGCUAAUUUAUUCUACUUAUGCUGAGUGAUAACAAACACAACAAAAUUUGAUUGAGUUGUUUUGGGGAGAAAGUCUGAUUAACAUUUGUAAAUGUGGACACACUUUUAUCUGUCAUUUAGGAAUAUUUUAAAUACUUUUCUGAUUGCACUCUUAAAUGUUUUCAAUAUAUGCAUAUGUAUUUCUAAAUAUUCAUAGCAAAAUAUAUAAAUUUGUAUACAAGCUUGUAAAUUUGUUGUUACAAUAAA